rnacentral:rRNA from 1 species
UACAGAGGGUGCGAGCGUUAAUCGGAAUUACUGGGCGUAAAGCGUGCGUAGACGGUUUCGUAAGUCGGGUGUGAAAUCCCCGGGCUCAACCUGGGAAUUGCAUUCGAAACUGCGAGGCUAGGGUACGGGAAGAGGGAAGCGGAAUUUCUGGUGUAGCGGUGAAAUGCGUAGAUAUCAGAAGGAACAUCAGUGGCGAAGGCGGUUCUCUGGGCAUUACCUGACGCGAGGAGCGAAAGUGUGGGGAGCGAACAGG